ensembl:lncRNA
GCCCGUCCAACCAAGCCUUGGACACUUCCAGGAGCGGGGCAGCCACAGCUUCUCUGGGCAACCUGUGCCAGGGCCUCCUCACCCUCACAGGAAAGAAUUCCUUCCCAAAAUUUAAUCCAAAUUUCUCCUCUUUUAAUUUAAAACCACUUCAUCUUCUACCCUUCUCGCAAGAUUGUUCCAGUGAACUUCAGCGUGUUCAGCCUGAUCCAGGAGAUGCGCACGCAGAGGCCCUGCCUCGUGCAGACCAAGGUAUGGUUGGGAAAUCUCCCCCAUCCCAGGACCUCACCUUUUCCCCAGGAGGGUUCACAGCAUGGAAACCUGGAGUGGUUGUGCUGGUGGGAGCUGGGGCGUGAAGAUGUUCUGCAAAGUCCCUUUUCUGAACAGAAGGGUGAUUUUGCAGAAAUUAAUUUGGUAGCUGACCAUUUCCUCGUGGGCAGCUGGGACAGUGCUUGCAGAGUGACUUAUUGAAGGCUUACACUGUGAAACAAGGCACUGUCCAGGAAAUAAAGUGGGAACUUUUCUCUGCUGAGGCAGCCUGAAGAGGAAGCUUCGUGCACAGCAGCAUUGUUUGUGCACCCAAAAACCCCCCAAAUGCUUCAGUCUGAGCCCUGUGAUAGUUGUGGCUUCUGCCUCUUCUGAGAAUUCACACCCUGCCAACAGACAGGAAAGUGGCAGCUUCUCAGGGGUGAUGCUUCAUUUGGGCAGAGGUGACCAUUUACAGGGACCUCAGGUGCUGGCACUCAUGCUUAUUUGUCUGCAAUUUGUUUAUUUGUCUGGAAUGCAGGAGCAGUAUGAGUUGGUUUAUGAUGUGGUGAUUGAGCUCUUCAGAAGGAGGAUUAAAGCACUCGAUGCCCAGAAAGAUUCUGCUGAUUCCCAGGUACGAGCAGGGCCUCCUGCAGCCAAGCCAGUCCUGACUCCAGUGGAAGACAUUUAUGGUCUGAGUUUACUCACCUGGUAAGGCCACAGCACCACUGUCCCUGGGUUGGUAUUUGUCCCACUUGGACUCUCAUGUUUGUUCCUACCACAAUUCAUAGAAUCAUGGAAUUGCUAAGGUUGGAAAAGACCUCUAAGACCAUUGAGUCCAACCCUUAAUGCAGCACUGCCAGAUCCAACACUAAACCACGUCCCCAGGUGUCACAUUUACAUGGUUUUGAAACACUUCCAGGGACAGUGAUUCUACCACUUCCCUGGGCAGCAUAUUCAAAUGCCUGAUCACCCUCUCAGUGAAGAAAUUUUCCCUAAUUUCCUCCUGAUUCCUGCUCUUCUCCCUGAUGUGGCUCUGAGGCUGUCUCACCCUCUUUGCCAUCACCUGUCCCCCUGUUCUGCCCUGGGACCUGCUUCACUUUGUGCUUAUGUGAUGUUUCACAUAUGAAUUGAAAACAGUUUAAAAAUGGCUCAUGCACUUGGAAACACCCCAGAGCUGGGUCAUCCCAACCCUCUGCCUGGCAGUGUGCACCCCACAGGGUGCCCCCAGGCUGGUCCCACCUUCCCUCUGCAUGUGCUACUCUAGUGCCUCUUGCUGCAGGAAUAGCAGUCCUGAGGAGUCCAGCUUCCCAACACAGGCAGCUUCCGUGGGUGGUGGGAUCUCUGUGGGCAAGCUUUGGGUUGCAGUGUCUGCUCUCUGUAAAUAAUUUUGCUUUUUGGCACAGUUUACUGGAGUAAAGGGGCCUCCUCUGUUCACCAUUCAACCAUGUUCAAGUGGGGCACAGUCCUUCCCUGCACUCCUGGCUGCAGACUGAGCUGAGGGAAUUCCUGAGGGAAUUGCUCCUGGGAGCAAUGGGGUGGGCUUUGUUAGUAGGUUAACAGGGUUUUC